rnacentral:rRNA from 1 species
GAUGAACGCUGGCGGCGUGCUUAACACAUGCAAGUCGAACGGAAAGGCUCCUGCUUGCAGGGGUACUCGAGUGGCGAACGGGUGAGUAACACGUGGGUGAUCUGCCCUGCACUUCGGGAUAAGCCUGGGAAACUGGGUCUAAUACCGGAUAGGACCACAUUUUGGAUGGUGUGGUGGAAAGUUUUUCGGUGUGGGAUGAGCUCGCGGCCUAUCAGCUUGUUGGUGGGGUAAUGGCCUACCAAGGCGUCGACGGGUAGCCGGCCUGAGAGGGUGUACGGCCACAUUGGGACUGAGAUACGGCCCAGACUCCUACGGGAGGCAGCAGUGGGGAAUAUUGCACAAUGGGCGCAAGCCUGAUGCAGCGACGCCGCGUGGGGGAUGACGGCCUUCGGGUUGUAAACUCCUUUCGCUAGGGACGAAGCGCAAGUGACGGUACCUGGAGAAGGAGCACCGGCUAACUACGUG